GUCUGCAGCCAUACCCACUAUGAACGUGCCCAAUCUCGUCUGAUCUCAGAAGCUAAGCAGGGUUGAGCCUGGUUAGUACUUGGAUGGGAAAAAAAUUUACCAGUAAUUUCAGAAC
rnacentral:rRNA from 1 species